UCAAAGCAUUAAAGAAUCGCCUGGAGGACGUUAAUGAGGGAGCAGAACUGAGUAAACAUCUGAAGAGGUUAGGAGGGGUUGAUGCUGCAGACCAUGUAAAGAAGUCAAUGGCUGCAACUAUGACAAAUAAAAUGAUGGCUCUAAUGAGCCUCAGAGGAAGGAGUGGGAAGGUGUCCUUUAUGAAGACCCAUCUUUACAAGCUCAUCUGUGACGCAGUGUUCAGCUCAUUUGAUACAACAACAACAAAAAUAAAUGAACACAUGGCCA